rnacentral:lncRNA from 1 species
CCCCUCGGUCCUCAGUGCCCAAGCGUAGAAGCCGUGGAGCCGCAUGGCCCUGGUGACUGGGCUGCGUGACCCCUCUGUGGCCCCCUCCUGACCUGAGAAAGUGGUGCAAACAUCCACCGCGUCAUCUGGUCGUUAGGAGCACAGAGCCUGACCCACGAUAGACACCACGGGCAUAAUAAAUGCCGCUUUCUGUUUGCUUCAGCAGGAUGUGGACAAAACCUUUAAAUUUGUUUUUAUGCAUUCAAUGCGUCCAGCUGUUACGACUCUGAAGCAAGUGUGAUUUUCAGUCUUUUGUAGUUGUUAUUCAGGGCAGUCCUGUUGUGCUGGGCUUGACUGAAGCGGCCAACACGGUCAUGUGUGUGUCUCCAGGCAGCAACCUGCAGUGAGCCCAAGAUCAUGGUCCAGGGCUCCUCCUCCCGGCAGGGAGGAACUGUCCUCAGCAUCCUCUGAGCCCCAGGUGUGCAGGGGGCAGGGUCAGGUAGAGAGAGGGGAGGAAGUUAGCUGAGGAACAAUGGCUAUUGGUCAGAUUUCCCUACCCCAACCCUGACACAAGCGCCUCGCACAUCAUUGGCUGAGAUCAGUCUCUCCAUUUUCCUAAUCGAUUCUUCAUGCAAAGCCACAUUUUGGAGAAAAGGAAUGGUUAGAAUCAUGGCAGGAUUGCUGAGGCAGUGAAUUGAAGAGGCUGCGUAGUGCUUGCAACCAGUUACCAUAUUUCCCUGGAGGAAUCACCAGCAACCGACUCUCCCAGGACUUACGAGGUGCUUCCCUUAUCACCAGCCGUCUCAGCACAAGUAGUAAGAGAUAAGAAGGCAGCUGAGGUACACGCUUUGCCUCGUGGGUGUGAACCAAGUAGCGGGCACAGAGAGCCGCCAC